UCGAACGAAGCGGUAUGAAGGAAGUUUUCGGAUGGAAUUCGUAUUGACUGAUUGGCGGACGGGUGAGUAACGCGUGGAUAACCUGCCUCAUACAGGGGGGAUAACAGUUAGAAAUGACUGCUAAUACCGCAUAAGCGCACAGAGCCGCAUGGUUCGGUGUGAAAAACUCCGGUGGUAUGAGAUGGAUCCGCGUCUGAUUAGCCAGUUGGCGGGGUAACGGCCCACCAAAGCGACGAUCAGUAGCCGACCUGAGAGGGUGACCGGCCACAUUGGGACUGAGACACGGCCCAAACUCCUACGGGAGGCAGCAGUGGGGGAUAUUGCACAAUGGGGGAAACCCUGAUGCAGCGACGCCGCGUGAGUGAAGAAGUAUUUCGGUAUGUAAAGCUCUAUCAGCAGGGAAGAAGAAAGACGGUACCUGAGUAAGAAGCCCCGGCUAACUACGUGCCAGCAGCCGCGGUAAUACGUAGGGGGCAAGCGUUAUCCGGAUUUACUGGGUGUAAAGGGAGCGUAGACGGUAUGGCAAGUCUGAAGUGAAAGCCCCGGGCUCAACCUGGGAACUGCUUUGGAAACUGUUAAACUAGAGUGCUGGAGAGGCAGGCGGAAUUCCUAGUGUAGCGGUGAAAUGCGUAGAUAUUAGGAGGAACACCAGUGGCGAAGGCGGCCUGCUGGACAGUAACUGACGUUGAGGCUCGAAAGCGUGNGGAGCAAACAGGAUUAGAUACCCUGGUNGUCCACGCGGUAAACGAUGCAUACUAGGUGU
rnacentral:rRNA from 1 species